rnacentral:pre_miRNA from 1 species
GGGGGGGGGGGGGGGUCCCUCAGCCCGGACUGUGAGAGGGCACAGGCCAGGCCGAGGGACCCCACCGGUGCCGG